UAGUACGGCGAGUGAAGAGGGAAGAGCCCAAGAUUGAAAGCUGGAGUCUUCGGCGUCCGCAUUGUAAUCUCAAGAAGUGUUUUCCGCUUCGGACCAAGCCUAAGUCCCCUGGAAAGGGGCAUCAUAGAGGGUGAUAAUCCCGUACAUGGCUUGGAGCGCCCGAGGCUUUGUGAUACGCUUUCUAAGAGUCGAGUUGUUUGGGAAUGCAGCUCAAAAUGGGUGGUAAAUGCCAUCUAAGGCUAAAUAUUGGGGAGAGACCGAUAGCGAACAAGUACAGUGAUGGAAAGAUGAAAAGAACUUUGAAAAGAGAGUUAAACAGUACGUGAAAUUGCCAAAAGGGAAGGGUAGGAGGUCAGAGAUGCGGCCUGGGAUUCAGCCUUGCUUUUGCUUGGUGUUUUUCCCAGAUUGCAGGCCAACGUCGGUUUUGGGCACUGGAGAAGGGUAGGAGGAACGUGGCACCCCUCGGGGUGUGUUAUAGCCUCCUACUGGAUACAGCGACCGAGACCGAGGACAGCAGCGUACUCGCAAGAGCGGGCCUUCGGGCACCUUUACGCUUAGGGCGUUGGCAUAAUGGCCCUCUGCCACCCGUCUUGA
rnacentral:rRNA from 1 species